AGCGAACGCUGGCGGCAGGCUUAACACAUGUAAGUCGAGCGGGCACUUUCGGGUGUCAGCGGCGGACGGGUGAGUAACGCGUGGGAACGUGCCCUCUGGUUCGGAAUAACUCAGGGAAACUUGAGCUAAUACCGGAUACGCCCUUUUGGGGAAAGGCUUGCUGCCGGAGGAUCGGCCCGCGUCUGAUUAGCUUGUUGGUGAGGUAACGGCUCACCAAGGCGACGAUCAGUAGCUGGUCUGAGAGGAUGAUCAGCCACACUGGGACUGAGACACGGCCCAGACUCCUACGGGAGGCAGCAGUGGGGAAUAUUGGACAAUGGGCGCAAGCCUGAUCCAGCCAUGCCGCGUGAGUGAUGAAGGCCUUAGGGUUGUAAAGCUCUUUUAUCCGGGACGAUAAUGACGGUACCGGAGGAAUAAGCCCCGGCUAACUUCGUG
rnacentral:rRNA from 1 species